GCCUUCGGCCACGCCCCGCUGAACACGCCCGAUCCCGUCUGAUCUCGGAAGCUAAGCAGGGUCGAGCCUGGUUAGUACUUGGAUGGGAGACGGCCUGGGAAAACUGGGUGCUGUAGGCU
rnacentral:rRNA from 1 species